rnacentral:rRNA from 1 species
UAAUAUACUAUUUUAGUGUGGAGUGAAUGCCUUGGAAGAAAAAUAUAGGCGCGGACAAUCGCGAAAGUGUUGACACGAGGAAAGCCUGUGACGUCAACCAACCUAAAAUGGGAAACCGGGGCUAAAAAGCCCGCUGCUUAGGCAGUAUCAAGGGGAAGUGAAACAUCUCAGUACCCUGUAGACCAAAUCAACCGAGAUAUCGUUAGUAGUGGUGAGCGAAAGCGAUAAAAAGGCAAAACGAAAAUUUUAUUAUUAAGAAUGAAAAGAAGUUUUGUUUUUCAAUGAAAUUUCUACCUUAGAAGGUGUUAGUCCUGUAAUUCUUUUUUUUUUUCGUGAAAGUAAGACGAGGCAAGUUUACCUUGUCUGAGUAUUGGGGGACCACCCUCAAAGCCUAUAGUUAUUUUUCUUACCGAUAGUGAACAAGUACCGUGAGGGAAAGGUGAAAAAGAAGUUGCGACAGUGCAAAGAUCCUGAAACUCCAUAUUUGAGUCGGAGCUAUAAAAAGCAACGGCAUACCUUUUGUAUAAUGGGCAAGUGAAUCUUAAUAAAGGGCAAGCUUAAGCUAAUAAAAGUGUAGGCGAAGAGAAAUCGAGUCCUAUGUGGCAUCCUAAAGUCCUUUGUUAAGUACCCGAAACCGGCUGAUCUAAACUUGAGCAGGCUGAUAUUGUAGUGGCAACAUUCUUUGGAGGGCCGAACCCGUGUAUGUGGCAAAAUACUGGGAUGACUUGAGUUUAGGGGUGAAAGGCCAAUCAAAGUCGGUGAUAGCUGGAUUUCUGCGAAAUCUAUUGAAGUAGAGCGUCCUAAACAGUAAAUCUGGGGUAGAGCACUGUAUAAGCAAGGGGGAGAUCUUCUCUUACUAAACUUUGGCAAACUCCGAAUACAGAUUUUUCAUUUAGGGCAGACAGAGUAUGUAUGCUAAGAUUCAUACUCAAGAGGGAAACAGCCCAGACUGUAGGCUAAGGUCCACAAAAUAGUUUCAGUGGUAAAGGUGAUAUCUGCUCUGAGACCGUCAGGAGGUAGGCUUGGAAGCAGCCAUCCUUUUAAGACAGCGUAACAGCUCACUGACCUAGAGUAGAAGUCCCGCCAAUUUUGAGGGCUUAAAACUAUUACCGAAGCCUCAGACAAAAAUGUUAAGAUAAUUAAAAACUCUUAUAUUUUGUGGUAGCAGAACAUUCCGUAGGUCGUAGAAGUUUUGACGUAAGUUAAGAUCAAGAUAUCGGAAGCGAGAAUACUUGCAUGAGUAGCAUAAAACAAUGAAAUUAAAGCAUUGUGGCCGUAAGUCCAAGGUUUACGAUCUUAAGUAAAACUGGGUCGUGAGAGGGUAACACCUCGAUUUAAAACGGUCCCUAAGCUGUUAAGCCAAAGCUUGCAGUAAUGGGUAAGAUUAAACUGUUAAAAGUUGCUGACGAAAAAUUCACCUUAUUCUUGAAUUUGUCAAGAGUGAGUUAUUUUUUCCAAGAAAAAGGCACUUUAUUUAUACCGUACCUUAAACCGCCUCAGGUGGACGGGUGGAGAACACUAAGGCCUUGAGAUAACCCUGUUGAAGGAACUCGGCAAAAUGACUCUGUAACUUCGGAAUAAGGAGUAAAGGCAUGUAGCGCAAGCUUUUGUCUUUGUCACAAAAUCGGGGGUGGCGACUGUUUAUUAAAAACACAGGUCUCUGCUAACUCGUAAGAGGAUGUAUAGGGACUGACACCUGCCCGGUGCCGGUAGGUGAAGCUUUGAUGUUUACGCAUUGAGGUCAAACCCCGGUAAACGGCGGCUGUAACUAUGACGGUCCUAAGGUAGCGAAAUUCCUUGUCGGGUAAGUUCCGACCCGCAUGAAUGGUGUAACGACUUCCCCGCUGUCUCCAACAGGGACUCAGUGAAAUUACAUAGGUCGUGAAGAUGCGACCAUCCCACAGCUGGACGGAAAGACCCCGUGCACCUUUACUAUAAGCAAAUAUUGUAGGUCAAAGACUCUAGUGUAGAAUAGGUGGGAGCUUAUGAUUCUUUCUCGUCAGAGUCUGAUGAGGCGAUAGUGAAAUACCACCCCGAGAUCUGUUGGCUUACUAACUAAGGGACAGUGUUUGCUGGGUAGUUUGACUGGGGCGGUCGCCUCCUAAAGAGUAACGGAGGCAUACAAAGGUAAGUUCAUCUCCUUCUAAGGGGAAUUGAGUAUAAUGGUAUAAACCUGCUUGACUGAAAGAAAGACAUUUCGAUCAGAGACGUAAGUCGGUCAUAGUGAUCCGGUGGUUCUUUGUGGAAAGGCCAUCGCGCAAUGGAUAAAAGGUACGCCGGGGAUAACAGGCUAAUGAUCCUCUAGAGCCCCUAUCGACGGGUUCGUUUGGCACCUCGAUGUCGACUCAUCACAUCCUGGAGCUGGAAAAGGUUCCAAGGGUUCGGCUGUUCGCCGACGAAAGUGGUACGUGAGUUGGGUUUAGAACGUCGUGAGACAGUUUGGUCCCUAUCUUCUGUGGGUGUUUGAAAAUUCCGAGGACUAGACCUUAGUACGAGAGGACCGGGAAAACUCGAUCCCUUGUGUUCCGGUUGUUCCCUAAGGGGCAUCGCCGGGUAGCUACAUCGAGAAGAGAUAAUCGACCGUUAGGCGAGAAACUCUCCUCUAGUAAAGUUUUCUAAAGGGGGUGGAAGAUUACCACUUUGAUAGGCGGGAGGUGUAAGAGCUGUAAGGUUUUCAGCUGACCCGUACUAAUCCCUAGAAAAAUAAAAUUAUAUAGUUUUUGC